rnacentral:rRNA from 1 species
AUGGAUGACACUCUUGCUUUGUCCAGCAUCAGCCAUGACAAACGCACCAUAGAUAUUUGGCGGGUACAUGACUAUGAUGCCGAAAUCUGGUCUUUCAAGCAUCGGAUUAAUUUGACUGGGAUGGAUCCAUCAUCACUUGUCGAUCCAAAUCAUACAAUAAUCCCUAGGAUGGCUGUGCUCAAUAGGGGUGAGAUGCUGAUCCAGUUCACUCAUUGGUGCGUGUUGGAUUUUGACAUCAAUGGCAAAUUUUUAGGAUAUGUGAAAAGUGAAGAUGGCCAAGAAAUCUACUGGUGGGUUACCUGGCAUUACCUGCAGGAGAGCAUUAUUCCCCUUCCACUGUUCCAUGAGAUGAGAGAAGAUGAUGGUGCGAAUCAGUGGCGGAGCUAG